GACGAACGCUGGCGGCGUGCUUAACACAUGCAAGUCGAACGGUAAGGCCCUUCGGGGUACACGAGUGGCGAACGGGUGAGUAACACGUGGGUGAUCUGCCCUGCACUUCGGGAUAAGCCUGGGAAACUGGGUCUAAUACCGGAUAGGACCACUGCCUGCAUGGGUGGUGGUGGAAAGCUUUUGCGGUGUGGGAUGGGCCCGCGGCCUAUCAGCUUGUUGGUGGGGUGAUGGCCUACCAAGGCGACGACGGGUAGCCGGCCUGGGAGGGUGAACGGCCACACUGGGACUGAGGUACGGCCCAGACUCCUACGGGAGGCAGCAGUGGGGAAUAUUGCACAAUGGGCGCAAGCCUGAUGCAGCGACGCCGCGUGAGGGAUGACGGCCUUCGGGUUGUAAACCUCUUUCAGCACCGACGAAGCGCAAGUGACGGUAGGUGCAGAAGAAGGACCGGCCAACUACGUGCCAGCCGCCGCAGUAA
rnacentral:rRNA from 1 species